CUAUAGAGUUUGACAUAAACUGCUGCGUACAAGACAAUGCUUGGAACUUUACCUGACAAGAUGGACAAAAUAAAAGUCUGAAGAAGUCUCUAACCAAAACGUCACCCAUUCCUUCUCUCAAGAGAUGUUGCCUGUCCCGCUGAGUUACUCCAGCAUUUUUUGUCUAUCUUUAGGCAAAUUAAUACCUAUGCACCAACAAUAAUUCACCUUGAACACGUGCAACGCACUUCAAAGGGGGACGGAAACUACUGCUGUGGGGCUUGCAAAUUUACCAAUAACAUAUAGAUCUUCUAUUGUUCCCUUUCACUGCUCAAGAAGAAUAGCAAAUAAUAGCUCUGAAUCUGGGGAGUAUUUGAACAGUUUAAUUAUAAAUACUACCUCAACUUACACUCAUCACAAGAAAUCAGUGAUUGAACCAUUCAAAGCAGGUAGAAACAAUUAAUCUGUAGUCUGAAGAAAGGUUAUGACCUGAAAUGUCACCUAUUCCUUCUAUCCAGAUAUGGUGCCUGUCCCACUGAGUUACUCCAGCAUUUUGUGUCUAUCGCCGGUAGAAACAAUUAACGUGUUCGUAUUGUUAACAAGGGCGGCACGGUGACACAGCAGUAGAGUUGCUGCCUUACAGCUAUUGCAGCACCAGAGACCCGGCUUCGAUCCUGACUACGGGUGCUGCCUGUACGGAGUUUGUACGUUCUCCCCAUGACCUGAGUGGGUUUUCUCCGAGAUUUUCGGUUUCCUCCCACAUUCCAAAGACAUACAGAAAGCCUGGUCGAUCAGAGGAACUAACCUCCCCCCUAUCGAAGGAGGCCCUGCCACAAAAGGACAGCCAAAAUCAUCAAAGACUCACAGCAUCCUGCCCGCGCUUUUUAUUUCGCUACUACCAUUGGGAAGACGGUACAGGAGCUAGAAAACCGUGACCACCGGGGUCAAGAACAGUUUAUUCCCAGCAACCAUUGGGCUCUUGAACACUACACAGUACCCUCAUUGUCAGCAACUGUGGACUGUGUGUCUCUGGUUGCACUAUGGACUUUGUUUUUGUACUAUUAUGGUAAUCCAGUAUUACAAUUAUUAAUUUAUUGUAUUUUUGAUUAUUAUACAUUUAUCUAUGUGCUAUUCCAUUAACGGGCCUCUGAAGUGCUGAAUGCUGUGACCGAUGAAGGCUAGCACACCAUAUAACAUCUUUACAACUAUAAGAAUUUCAUUGUUCUGUUGUUGGUCCAUAUAUGACAAAUAAACUCUAGACCCUUGA